GAUGAACGCUGGCGGCGUGCCUAAUACAUGCAAGUCGAGCGAACGUACCAUGAGCUUUCUCCUCUACCGUUAGCGGCGGACGGGUGAGUAACACGUAGAUAACCUACCUAUAUUACUUGGAUAACUUCGGGAAACCGUAUCUAAUACCGACUAAUAUAUUGAACCGCAGGGUUCAAUAGUUAAAUACGGUUUUGCUGUCACUUAUAGAUGUAUCCGCGCCGCAUUAGCUAGUUGGUAAGGUAAAGGCUUACCAAGGCUACGAUGCGUAUCCGAUCUGAGAGGGUGAUCGGCCACACUGGAGCUGAGACACGGUCAAGACUCCUACGGGAGGCAGCAGCAGGGAAUAUUAGGCAAUGGGCGAAAGCCUGAUGGAGCCAUGCCGCGUGAGUGAUGAAGGUCUUCGGAUCGUAAAGCUCUGUUAUUAGGGAAGAACAAAUGUGUAAGAAAAUAUCCACGUCCUGACGGUACCUAAUCAGUAAGCCCCGGCUAACUACGUG
rnacentral:rRNA from 1 species